rnacentral:tRNA from 1 species
GGGUAUGUAGCUCAGUGGUAGAGUGCAUGCUUAGCAUGCACAAGGUCCUGGGUUCAAUCCCCAGUACCUCCA